UACGUAGGGGGCUAGCGUUGUCCGGAAUCAUUGGGCGUAAAGAGCGUGUAGGCGGCUCGGUAAGUCCGCUGUGAAAGUCGGGGGCUCAACCCUCGAAUGCCGGUGGAUACUGUCGGGCUAGAGUGCGGAAGAGGCGAGUGGAAUUCCUGGUGUAGCGGUGAAAUGCGCAGAUAUCAGGAGGAACACCAAUUGCGAAGGCAGCUCGCUGGGACGUAACUGACGCUGAGACGCGAAAGCGUGGGGAGCAAACAGG
rnacentral:rRNA from 1 species